AAGCAAAGCAAAGGAAGUUUAUCCUCAUCAAAUAUGAGAAAAAGGAUUAACUUGAAUGAAACAACUGAAUACUAAAUUUACAACUAAUAAAUACGUGAAAAGAGAGGCUGAUAUUAAGCCUAGGACUAACAUGGAAUAGUUUUCCUUGAGGAAGUUAGAGAAUAACUCAUAAUUUCUCUGCCUUGUGAAAUGUCAAAGUUAGCACCCGACUGCUGAAUGCCUCUAGUGAUUCCAAAAUAGGAGUGAGAAUGGGUGGAGAGGCCUCCCCCAGACCGUAAGGCAUGACUAGAACCCAAGUUUUCAUAUCUUUCGUAUCGAGAUCCUCCUAACACACUCAUACGAAGAUAUCCCACUCCUGUACACUCGGGAACGGACAAGACACUUAAACCAUUCGGAAGCUUCGUAACGCCUUCCUUGCUAGUCGCAAAUCCACGAACGAUCCUAAAUGUAGAAGCCAUCUUCAUCGAUCAGCAGAGAAGUGACCCGAUGACAGA
rnacentral:lncRNA from 1 species